ensembl:lncRNA
AUGGGAACUUGGAGACAUGAAACAGUAGGAGAAAAAACACAAGGUCAAUGUGGAAGCAAGAUCAGCAAACAAGCACUGGGGGAUACAGAGCAGCCAGGAGAACAACCGCAUGGCCUGAGAGCUCCUGACUGUCACCAGGGGUUCGCUGAGAUGGAACCGAGGCUGACGCCAUGGAAGGAAGUCGGGCUACUCUGUUGCAGAGACCACAGGGAGAGAGGAAGACGCUGGCCUGCUGGCCUGCUCUUCCAGCCAUCCCCGCAGAAGCACCAGUUUAGCGUAAAUGUGUCCUACAAAGGCCAACUUGCGUGACAUGACUUCCAGUUUAGAUUCGAGUGACAGUGACCAUCUGUGGCCUCACCUAGGAAACGCCAGGCCCUCACCUGAGGUGAGUGGACUUCACUUCUUACUGAAGCUUUGCAUGGAAACUGCUUCUAAUCAUGUGUUCAGCCUGCGGUUGUGUGUGUGAAAUAAAAGCCCUGCUAUAAAAAACUUCCA